rnacentral:tRNA from 2 species
GUGGUUAUAGCUCAGUUGGUAGAGUGCUUGCCUACCAUGCCUGAAACCCUGGGUUCCAUCCCAGCACCACA